ensembl:misc_RNA Metazoa_SRP Metazoan signal recognition particle RNA
GCUAGGCAUGGUGGCGUGUGCCUGUAGUCCUAGCUACUCAGGAGGCCGAGGUAGGAGGAUCGCUUGGGCCCAGGAGUUCUGGGCUGUAGUGCGCUAUGCUGAUCGGGUGUCCGCACUAAGUUCAACAUCAAUAUGGUGACCUCCUGGGAGCAGGGGGACUACCACAUUGCCUAAGGAGGGGUGAACCUGCUUAGGUCGGAAAAGGAGCAAGUCAAAAGUCCCAUGCUGAUUAGUAGUGGGAUCGCGCCUGUGAAUAGCCACUGCACUCCAGCCUGGGCAACAUAGCGAGAUCCUGUCUCUA